UAGUCGUGUAUUUUAUGAUUUUUUAAACUCAAUUAUUACUUUUUUAUUUAAUGGAGACUAAAAGAAAUUUACGAAAAAGUAUUUAUUUAAUUGGUUAAAUUAUUUACUUAUUGGCGUUGAUGUAACUUACCAAAAAAAAGAAUUUAAGCAAUUUAAAAAAUUAAAAGAAUUUGAGAAAAAAUGAAAGCUUAAUGAUGAUGAAUUCAAAUUAACUACUAAAACUGUGGAAUUCUGUUCUACAAGCGACGACACAGAAGAAAGUUUGCCUGAUGAUUUUGUAAACAAUGAUGACUUCAGUAAUUUGUUUGAUGGCAAUGUAAAAAAAACUCAAGAUCAAAUAUUAAAUUUAGAAGAUAUUAAUUUUUCACCGGGUCCGUCUAAUAAAACUAAUGUUUUGCCAGUAUCAAGCUCCAUAUAACAAAGAGGUACAAUAGACAUGAUGACUGUAAAGUUAUCUUCAGCAUUAGAUAGGUGCAAAAUAAGCGACCGAGACGCAGUGCACAUUAUAAUUGCAGUGACUGAAUCAUUAGGGCAUGAUGUCAAUGAUAUCAUAGUUAAUAGUUCAUCAAUUAAACGACAUUGUGAAAAAAUACGUUGGAAUUUAGCUACAGAAAUUCGCGACAAAUUUUCUGUGACUAACCUCAAUGCCUUAGUUUUACAUUGGGACGGCAAAUUAUUACCUAAUUUAUGUAGUAAACAAACAGUUGAUUGACUACCUAUAAUUACUUCAAAUAAUGGAAAUGACCAACUAUUAGCAGUACCAAAGAUGUUAAACGGAACUUCUAAAUCACAGGCUGAGGCUAUAUAUCAAACGUUGGUCGAUUGGGGUUUAACAAACCACGUAAGAUAUACAUGGUUACUGGUAAUCGAUUUGAAAUCUAUUUUCAUAUUUAUUGUUAACCGCUUAUCACUUAAUAAUCGGUUUUAAUUUUUAAAGGUAACCGUUAAUCGUUUAAAACCGAUUUUUAACCGUUUAAAUACUUUUUUUUAAUGAUGGAAUACGAUAAGCUUGGGUGUUUUUACAGAAAGAACGAUUAGGCUGUGUCGUAGCCAGUGUGCCAAGAGGAACGGGUUCCUUACAUUGACGUCAAUAUUUAUUCCUAAAAUUAAGUGAUGAGCAAAAUACUAAUAAUAAAAAAUAUACAUAGAAUUGAAAUUUCAAAUAGUAUUAAAAAAAGUAUUCAAAUUUUACUGUAUUGAAGAUAAUAAGGAAUAAAAACAUUUAACAAAACU